rnacentral:rRNA from 1 species
UACGUAGGCAGCGAGCGUUGUUCGGAGUUACUGGGCGUAAAGGGUGUGUAGGCGGUUGUUUAAGUUUGGUGUGAAAUCUCCCGGCUCAACUGGGAGGGUGCGCCGAAUACUGAAUGACUAGAGUGCGGGAGAGGAAAGUGGAAUUCCUGGUGUAGCGGUGAAAUGCGUAGAUAUCUGGAGGAACACCGGUGGCGAAGGCGGCAUCCUGGACCGAGAUUGACGCUGAGGCGCGAAAGCCAGGGGAGCAAACGGG